ACUGCACCUUGGAGCUCAAAGGCAUCAGAAAAACCGACACUGGUCCGUUUUACUUCAGAAUUGAAAUUCCACAACAUAAAAGCUUCACUUACUCAAAAAAUAAGGUGACCCUCGAUAUCUUCCAAGUUCCUAAGCCUCCCGUGAUGACUAUAGAAGUCCGUAAUAAAGUGACUGCCACCUGCAAAGUUACUCACGUCUGUCCAACAUCUCCUCCCCACAUCUCCUGGAGCCGCGCAGGAACGUGGAACACAAUGUCAAAACAGGAGAAUAAAUGGUUGUGGUCAACAACAUCGACCAUGACCUUCAUCCCUCGAGUAGCCGAUUUUAACAAGCGUUUAGAAUGUAAGGUGACAUUCCAUGGCAGGAAGACCACAAAGGGCUCUGUGCUUGUCACCAAGUAGACGACCAUGUUUAACUACAUAUGCAGUUUUAGAUUACAGCAAUAUUUUUAGAGCUAUCUGCUAUAAUGACAAAGGGAUUUAUUUAGAAGAAAAGCCUGAAUUAGUAAAACUGCAAAAAAGUAAAUAAAUACAUUCAGAGAGACAAGAAAUUCUUAUUGAUGCAUGCUUUGAUUCAUAUCACCUUCUGAGUUUAACUUUACAUAAAUCUUUUGAACAUGUGUUAGAGGCACAAAAGUUAGGAGUCUUUUUUUAUCUUUAAUGAUUUUCUAAUAGGAUUUAUGGAAUAAUCUUGUUUUGCUGGUUUCUUUCUUUUACUCUUCAUCAACUGUAAGAUCAUACACUGACUAUUAAAUGUACGUCAUACUCCAAAUUCUACAAGUUUUCCUUUUCUUUUGUAUUAAAUCUUUCAUCAAAGU